rnacentral:lncRNA from 1 species
CAGGCAUCAAUUUUCAAUUUGACAUUAACUACGAAAGGAAAUGAUGAAGUAAAAUUCCUAAGUAUUGAGCUGUCACUGGAGAAAAGAUUUAUGUUAGUCUCUGGCAUCAAAUCAUGACUCAGAUCGUCACUAGUAGGCACACCAUUUCUUUUCUUUGACACUUUUAGGAGCCUGAUAGGAGAGGAUUCUGGAUUUGUCGAAGUGUACACUUCCUUCUGUGCACUUAUCUGAACGGUUCGUGAAGAGCAUCCUUUCAAUCUAAGUAUGUAUCUCAAGGAGACUCACUCACCAAUGCCAGCACUUCAGCACACCCGCAGAAGGAGUGCAUGGACUCCAUGACCACAUUGCAAAGACUGACUUCUGUCUGCACAAGAAAUUCAGAGACCAGUAGUUCCCUCCCGGCAUGGACAGAAAAACUUCCCUGCAGCCUCUUUCCAUUUAGUCUGGUGAAAUUGAACGUAAACUGCCCUGAGGGCAAGCUGGAUCCCAGCUGGAAUCUCACCCUGUUGCUAGGCUUCGCCCAACAGCCCACUACUUUGUCUUCACAUCCAUACAAGGACUGUGUAAGGAAAAGAGCAGAUACACACCUGCAAUAUCAAGUGAGCUACUAUUUUCUUCAUUAAAAGUCAAGCAGAAGUCCAUCAUAUUCUACGGGAAGCUAUGACAUUAGGCUAAAGACAUCACUCAGGAUUUUCUCUCUGGCGUCCAGAUUUUCCUCUUAUUUUAACCUCAUUUUAACACCUUUGAAAUAUUUAAUAAGAAAUGCAGUCAUUUUAGCCACAGACAGUACUUUCUGUUGCAAAUAAAAAUUGUUUUCUCAUCACCUGCUUGCUCCUUAGAUGCUGUUUUCGAAAAUGUGUUUUCUAGGACAUUACUGUUCUUAGCAUUUUACUUUUGGAAUC